GACGAACGCUGGCGGCGUGCUUAACACAUGCAAGUCGAACGGAAAGGCCCUGCUUUGGUGGGGUGCUCGAGUGGCGAACGGGUGAGUAACACGUGAGUAACCUGCCCUUGACUUUGGGAUAACUUCAGGAAACUGGGGCUAAUACCGGAUAGGAGCUCCUGCUGCAUGGUGGGGGUUGGAAAGUUUCGGCGGUUGGGGUUGGACUCGCGGCUUAUCAGCUUGUUGGUGGGGUAGUGGCUUACCAAGGCUUUGACGGGUAGCCGGCCUGAGAGGGUGACCGGCCACAUUGGGACUGAGAUACGGCCCAGACUCCUACGGGAGGCAACAGUGGGGAAUAUUGCACAAUGGGCGGAAGCCUGAUGCAGCAACGCCGCGUGCGGGAUGACGGCCUUCGGGUUGUAAACCGCUUUCGCCUGUGACGAAGCGUGAGUGACGGUAAUGGGUAAAGAAGCACCGGCUAACUACGUG
rnacentral:rRNA from 1 species